CCGGAGCUUGCUCCACCGGAAAAAGAAGAGUGGCGAGACGGGUGAGUAACACGUGGGUAACCUGCCCAUCAGAAGGGGAUAACACUUGGAAACAGGUGCUAAUACCGUAUAACAAUCGAAACCGCAUGGUUUUGAUUUGAAAGGCGCUUUCGGGUGUCGCUGAUGGAUGGACCCGCGGUGCAUUANCUAGUUGGUGAGGUAACGGCUCACCAAGGCCACGAUGCAUAGCCGACCUGAGAGGGUGAUCGGCCACAUUGGGACUGAGACACGGCCCAAACUCCUACGGGAGGCAGCAGUAGGGAAUCUUCGGCAAUGGACGAAAGUCUGACCGAGCAACGCCGCGUGAGUGAAGAAGGUUUUCGGAUCGUAAAACUCUGUUGUUAGAGAAGAACAAGGAUGAGAGUAACUGUUCAUCCCUUGACGGUAUCUAACCAGAAAGCCACGGCUAACUACGUGCCAGCAGCCGCGGUAAUACGUAGGUGGCAAGCGUUGUCCGGAUUUAUUGGGCGUAAAGCGAGCGCACGCGGUUUCUUAAGUCUGAUGUGAAAGCCCCCGGCUCA
rnacentral:rRNA from 1 species